AACACAUCCUCACAAUCUAGUUCAGAGAGGACGGUCAUCUGAAUCGGUGUCAGUGUGUGCGUAUGUGUGUACAGGUGUGUGUGCAAGUGUAUGUGUACAUGCAUGUGUGUGUGCAGGUUUAUGUGUACAAGCAUGUGUGUGUGCUGGUGCAUGUAUACGUGUGCAUGUGUGUGUGCAGGUGCAUGUGUACGUGUGCAUGUGUGUGUG